UACGGGGGGGGCAAGCGUUGUUCGGAAUUACUGGGCGUAAAGGGCUCGUAGGCGGCCCACUAAGUCAGACGUGAAAUCCCUCGGCUUAACCGGGGAACGGCGUCUGAUACUGGAGGGCUUGAGUUCGGGAGAGGGAUGCGGAAUUCCAGGUGUAGCGGUGAAAUGCGUAGAUAUCUGGAGGAACACCGGUGGCGAAGGCGACAUCCUGGACCGGUAUUGACGCUGAGGCGCGAAAGCCAGGGGAGCAAACGGG
rnacentral:rRNA from 1 species